GCCCAAGAGAUCGGGAUAACACCUGGAAACAGAUGCUAAUACCAGAUAACAACAGAUGAUGCCUAUCAACUGUUUAAAAGAUGGUUCUGCUAUCACUCUUGGAUGGACCUGCGGUGCAUUAGCUAGUUGGUAGGGUAACGGCCUACCAAGGCGAUGAUGCAUAGCCGAGUUGAGAGACUGAUCGGCCACAUUGGGACUGAGACACGGCCCAAACUCCUAGGGAGGCAGCAGAC
rnacentral:rRNA from 1 species